rnacentral:rRNA from 1 species
UGAGGAAUAUUGGUCAAUGGGCGAGAGCCUGAACCAGCCAAGUAGCGUGCAGGAUGACGGCCCUAUGGGUUGUAAACUGCUUUUAUAUGGGAAUAAAGUGAGGGACGUGUCCCUUAUUGCAUGUACCAUAUGAAUAAGGACCGGCUAAUUCCGUGCCAGCAGCCGCGGUAAUACGGAAGGUCCAGGCGUUAUCCGGAUUUAUUGGGUUUAAAGGGAGCGUAAGCUGUUUGUUAAGCGUGUUGUGAAAUGUAAGAGCUCAACUUUUAGAUUGCAGCGCGAACUGGCAGACUUGAGUGCGCACAACGUAGGCGGAAUUCAUGGUGUAGCGGUGAAAUGCUUAGAUAUCAUGACGAACUCCGAUUGCGAAGGCAGCUUACGGGAGCGCAACUGACGCUAAAGCUCGAAGGUGCGGGUAUCGAACAGG